UGAUGUGUAAGUGUUUAUGAUGGGGUUUUAUUACUUGGAUGUUUUCUGCUAUGAGGUGAGUACAUUGGGAUCUCGGGUGUUUUCUUUUUUUUGGGUGCUUAGGGAUAGUAGUGUUAGGCAGGUGAAGGUCCAUUGGAGGGUGCGAUGGGUCGACCAGCCUGACAUUGGACAUUUUUGAUUUUCAUUCUGUGAUUCCCAAAUGUAUUUGCUUCCAUUUAUUUCACAUAAUUGUUUGAACCUUCUUUUUAAUUGGCUCGGAGUACCAUAUGUGGUCACCUAGGCGAGGGACCGUGAGAGAGUUUUCCUGUCUUGGUUGUUUGAUGGAUAAUUUUGGAAAUAUAGCUGCCUUGCAGGUUUUUCGCUCUCACACUCCACAAAUUUACUAUAUUGCUGAGCUUAUGCCGUGAUUAGCAUGGUCAAAGGGAAUGUCAUGAACAUUCUGUGUGUGACUCUUAUGUACCCAAUAUUAUGGUAAUUAUCUACGCUUGUAAGCAUCGAAGGGGGGAAUGUAGUAUCUAAGCUGAGAAUAUUUGUUGCUUAUCACAAUGGUACCUGAGACGUGUUAUUCAAUAUGUUAGUAGAAUGUGUAGCAGAAUGAAUGAGUGCUGCAUCUUCGCUUUGUGUUGACUGGUGUGUUGCUUACGUGAUAUCAAGGAUGUGAUUUGCCUUAACCAAUCACGGCAGGAGGACGCCCUAUAAAGCUGGGUAAUCGUCACUCACCGUUCUCUUGUUUUGACGUCAGGGGCACGCCCCGCUCCCCGUUCGCCUCACUUUCUGUUUACUGUUGCUGAUAAGUGUGGUAGCAGUUGCUGCAUUGUUUGCCCUUUGUUUAAGGCUGUUUUUCUUCAUUUGUGGUUACAGUAGCCAUCAUUUUUAUAGAGUCACUGUUGAGCCUCCGUAGCCUGAUAGGUGAGCCGCUCGCAGGCUGCUGUGGUGCAUCCAGUCAGAGUCGUGAGCCACUUGCAGGCCGUUACUGGCCGUAACCAUGGCCGCUGGUUGCUCCCCGUUCCCUCGUUCUGGACCGACUCACCGAUUGGCGUGGCCAACGCUUAUCUGGAACUGUGCCGGCUACGCUGGGUCACGGACGUAGGAGACGCUGCUGCUUUGCCUCCAUGGAAGCUCCACAUACGCUGGUGGGGACUGCUGUCUUCAGUUGAUGGGAACCCCUUCCUGUGUGGCGUGCUGCUCAUCCCCUGGUUGUUUUUUUUUUAAUUUCUUCACUCAGGUGUGUGUGCGUGCAUGUGUGCAUGUUCAUGUGUGAGUGGGGUGAUUUCUCCUGGGCUCCCUCGUGACGCCCGUUGACCCAAAACCUCCACCAGAGAGCCCCCAGCUCUGAUUAGUUCUUAAAAAUCUUCAUUUAAUAAUCCUGUGUGAAUGGUUGUUUUAAAUGGUUUUUAAAAUGAGUAUCUGUGACACUGUUGAAUAAAAUUUGUAUUUUCUUGCCUUCACUGGAAUCAUGUCUCUCGCCUCAUCAGUAGAACGAACCUGAGUUGCCUUCUCGUUAGUAGUGGCUACAAUUCGCUGGGUGAAAGUCCCAAGGUGGCGUUGUUUGGCCAGUGUCUACAUUCAGUAGUUGUAGCACCCUAGUUUCUCACCCACCUCCAUUCGCCACAAAUGGAAUGUGCUUUUCAGUCCGAGAAACCUAAAUGCAAAUGUUGGUGUAGGGGUACCAAUGUUCAAAUACUGAUGGAUGGCCCCUUUGGGAAAUAAAGAGUCUAUGGGCCUGGUUGGAGGGGGGUAUCCUGUUUUUACCAAAGUCUUUAACAGAAACCAGAUGUGACUUCAUAUGUUAUUAAACCUAUAAGAAUGACCCCAAGCCUUUGUUCUGCGGGAUUUCAUAUUGGCUCUGAAUUCCCUAUCAGGCAGACCAUGGCGCCUGAACAGAUGCUGUCUUCUUUAUAAUAAAAUUAUAUUAUCAAGCAACUCGGUGUCAACAGACGUUUUCUUCAACAUCUGCACAUCCUCAAUGUCUGAGAGAAACUACACUUCUCACCUCUCUCACUGUAGCUGGGGUCUGACUUGUGAGCACCUCUACAGCCUCCACUUCCUUCAGGUUCAUCCUGUAUCCUUCAGCAGAGAUAACUUGUCCCACAGAGGUGACUUGUGGCUUAAACAAAUCACAUUUUUCUGCUCUGAGUUUUAUCUCACAGGCCCUUUUCCUCUGCAGGACUUGUUGGACAUGGUGCGCAUGUUGGUCAAAUGUGCGGCUGAAAACAAGGACAUUAUCCAGAUAUGGUACACAGAC